AGGUUCGAGAUCACCUGGCUGGGUGGGCACGCCUCUGGGAGUCGGAGCUGAGCUGGGUGGGCUGGGUUAGGCUGGAGCCUGCCCUAGAGGGCGAAGUACUAACCUACCCCCGCCCCCAUCCCAAGGUUCGGGCUGGGCAGCCAGGUCGGCGGCUUGGGUUCGGCACCGGUCCGCGUCCCCCUCCCCCCGGCUGCGCUCCAUCCCUUAGGAAGUGACCAGAACGUCCCAAGGCAGAGGCCAGUCGGAGAGUGACUUCCUACUUUCAAGAUGCUUCCAGUCCGGCACCCGGAUGGGUUGUGGGUAGAGGGAGGAGGAGACUGAAAACUAACUUUCUGUGAACAUCGUGUAAUGGCUGCUGGGGAGGGGCAGGUGCCAGGGUCCGUUCCCGGGUGUGGGGCUGGGGAAAGGUGCGGGCGUUCUGACAAGAGUCCACAACCGCAACGCGAGCUGAUUUUGCAGAGGAGCCGACAUUUUUUUUGGGGGGGGGGGCAGACCUUCGGGAGCAGGAAAGAUGAAGACACCGGCGGCAAAGGUCUCUUUUUAGCAUAGGGACGGAAGUUUACCGAACAUACUUUAUCUAAUACCCACAAGACCGUGCUGCUGCUGAAGGGGACAUUAAACAGAAUUUGUGGGCUCUUCCAGGCGAUCGCUCCUUUUGUGGAAGGAUCAGCAGGUGAUUGGGUCCACAUCCUCAUCCUCAGCAGGCACUGGUCUGCUCAGAUGCCACAGUGGAGUAUGUUAAACAAGAAUUCGUUCCUGAAGUACUGUGAUGGAGGCUGGGGAUUAAGAAGCCAGGGUGCAUACCCUGUGGUUCCAUGAGUACAGACCUGGAGCUCCUGGAAAAAUGAGGACAUCACAUCUGGAAUGGGUAUUAUCCUGAGAGCCUCCAAAAUCAGUGAUGUUGCAGAAGGCAGGACAAGCAUUCAAUUGGCUUCUUUAUUUAACCUCAGCAAUCCUGGUGGGUAUUAUGCUCAAAUUUACAAAUGAACAAGAAGACAGAAAUAUGAACAGUCUGAGUGACUUCUAAGAUCACAAAGGCUUGGAGUGGUUCCAAAACCUUUGAUUUUGCUGUUGUUGUUUGUUUUUGAUAUGGCAUUUAACAUAAAGGUCAAGCAGAAGUUGAAUCCUUUAUAGAUCUUUGUUUUUUAUUUAUUUAUUUAUUUUCUGUAUUUCACAUAGUAUAGUUGUUAAGAAUACAAGCUCUGAAGACUGAGUGCCUUCAUAGAUGUCCUAGCUCUUUGUCCUCUUAAAACUUGAAGUGUUUUUGAACAGUGCCUGAGCCUAGCCAAGGGCCCCCCAAAGCAUUAGCAGUUGUGAACCUUUUUCUCCUGUUCUCAUCUGGCCGCGCCUACAGCCUGCUUUGUGUCCAGAACUACAUCCUCGGUCUAUGCCCUAUCGGCUCCCAUCUGGAUCCCCAGCCACUUGGUGCUUGUGGCUGUCUUUCUGUCCACCCUGCAGCAGUAUGUUCCCUUCUGGCUUUAGUGGCUGAGUGGCUUCUUUUGCUGGGUCUGGCUGGCUUUUCUAUGGCUUCCCUACUCUACCAUCCAACACCAAGACUGAUUUCAUGGCCCCAGACAUCCUCCUUUGCUUUCAGAAAUAUUCUCAGUGGCAACCCUAAUUUCAUUUCUCAGAGAAGGUGACUCUACCUCUAGGCUUUCCCACCAAUCUCUCUCGUCUCCAAAACCCAGAGCAGAAGGAGAAUCACCAGGGUUUCUAUUGCCCUCUUCCCUCCCCUUCAGUGAACUCUCAGUUAGAGCCAGGACCAGCUCCUGCCAGUAGAGACUAGUCUAGGUCACAAAUAUUGUGCUACCCAAUGGGCCACUUGUACUCAGCACUGUUGGGCACCCAGCUCCCAGCCUCACCUCUUUUAACCAUUCUUGCAUCAUGUAUUCCUAAAUGAGCUUACCCAACAGUUCCCUAUUCUGUUUUCCAAAGGUCUGUUAGCAACUCAUUUGAAUUUUACACGUGAAGUUGCUGUGAGCAACGUUCCUUUCACUCUGAGAUUGGGGCAAAAUGUUGCAAGUGGGUUGCCCUAUUUCUUUAUCAAAAGAAUAUUCCCUUGGCAAAGCCUGAUCAAAAGUACUCUUUCCCCACCCUCUGCACUGGCUUCGACACGGAAACAACAAUGGGGCUUUGAGGAGCCUCUGAUACACGAACCCAACUUCUAACUGCAAGAGGACCUGCUGCUCUCUCCCCUGCUGCUACAAAGGCACCUCCUCCCAUCCAGUUUUGAAAGCCAAGAACUUCCCAGUCAUCUUUUGCACUUCCCUCUUCCUCACUAGACAUCGCCCCGUCUGUCCACUAUGAUCACAGCUCACCAUCCACCUGCGUGACUCAACUUCACAUCCUCUCCAGCCCCAGAGACCCAAAGCCCUGACUUCUGAUUGCUCUCCCCAAGCCAGAAGGAUCUCAGUGGGAUCAUUCCAGAGAGCACACCACUUCAUCUCCAUGGCCUGCUUAAGCUCUUCAUGCCCCCCCCCACGAUCCAAAUCUGGAGUUGCCUUCAAGGCCCCCCAGUCAGGGGCUCUCUUAUCUUAUUCCUGGGCUCAGUCUCACUCCUAAACCUAUGAUGCUCUCCCUCCCUCUCUGAAAGUCCGCCUGGUCGUGACUCCUCAGUACCACCUGUCUUCUGCCGGGCACUCAUGCCCAGUGUCCUGGGUUGCAAGAUACCUGUGCAUGGUGGUUCUCAGUGGGCAGUUACUCAGUGGCUAACCAAGCCUGUCAGGCACGCUGUGGUGUAUGAAUCUGCUUGGCCAGGUGCAUGCGGCGUAUCCUUAUCAACAUGGAGGCUAGCUUGUACAGCCAGUGUGUGCCAGCUCUACCCACUGUCCUAGGCUCCCCCUGACCUGACUGAUAACUUCAGUUGUGUUCCAGAGUAAUAGCAACGUUAUCAUGGCCUCUGAAUUGCCUUUUGUAGUUCGUAUUAUUUAUUUUAAGAUUGAUGCAAAGUUUUUGCUAUAAAAUCAACUGACUUCGCUUACUCAACAACUUAACAAAGGCUAUGGGUCUGACACAGUAACAGCAAUCUUGAUGAACCUGAACCCCCAAGUUACAGUUUGGGACUUGGGGUAUAGUUCAAUGAUAAAGCAUGUGUUCAGCUGUUCAAAGCCCUGGAUGCCAUCAUUGGAACAACAACAACAAAAAAGUUAUUCUGGCUCUGCCUUUCUCCAGAAGGUAGGUGCUGUGAACAGAACCUGCUUUUCAGCUGCACUGAAAGACUAAAAAGGGAGAAUUUAGUUCAAGGCAAAGCCUUGAGUGUCCCUUGCCUACCCUUUUCCUCCUUUCUCC